GACAGCAGCCGCCACGGUAAUACGAAGGGUGCAAGCGUUACUCGGAAUUACUGGGCGUAAAGCGUGCGUAGGUGGUGGUUUAAGUCCGUUGUGAAAGCCCUGGGCUCAACCUGGGAAUUGCAGUGGAUACUGGGUCACUAGAGUGUGGUAGAGGAUAGUGGAAUUUCCGGUGUAGCAGUGAAAUGCGUAGAGAUCGGAAGGAACAUCUGUGGCGAAGGCGACUAUCUGGGCCAACACUGACACUGAGGCACGAAAGCGUGGGGAGCAAACAGGAUUAGAUACCCGAGUAGUCCCUGUCUCUUAUAC
rnacentral:rRNA from 1 species